rnacentral:lncRNA from 1 species
UUCGUACGAGGCUAGCCAGUUAGACCGUGCUCUUUAAAAGUGUUCCAACCCAAAAAAAAAUAUUUAAAAGCGUUUUUAAGAUAAAAAUAAGUGUUUGAUAAUAUUUUAAAAAACACUUUUGGAAAGUUAGAGAAGCACUUGAGAGGUUUUUUGUUUUUUGUUUUUUCUUUUUUUUUAAAAAAACAUUUUAAAAUUUUUUAUAUAUUUCUAAAAUACAAUUUCUUGCUAUCAUUCGUUUCUCUUUUAC